UUAGCGCCAGUGUAUCGAGUUUGCUCUCAAAGCCAAACCCUUGAGACGCUACAUUCCCAACAAUCGUCUCCAGUUCCAUAUAUGGCGUGUGGUGACGUCGCAGGCAUUUGAGUACCUCAUCUUUGCGUUUAUUGUGUGUAACACAGUGGUUUUGAUGAUGCAGUAUUACCAAGAACCUAAAUUGUACACUCGAGUGCUAGAUGGCUUCAACAUAGGCUUCACUGCAGUUUUUCUUCUGGAAUGUAUACUCAAGCUCGUAGCUUUUAAACCGAAGAACUACUUUAUAGAUCGAUGGAAUCUGUUUGACUUCAUUAUAGUGGUUGGGAGCAUUGUAGAUAUAACCAUGAAUGAAGUGUCGGUAAGUUGAACAAGCUCACUCGCUGAAAAAAAAAAA